rnacentral:rRNA from 1 species
CCUACGGGAGGCAGCAGUCGAGAAUCAUUCACAAUGGGGGAAACCCUGAUGGUGCGACGCCGCGUGGGGGAAUGAAGGUCUUCGGAUUGUAAACCCCUGUCAUGUGGGAGCAAAUUAAAAAGAUAGUACCACAAGAGGAAGAGACGGCUAAAUCUGUGCCAGCAGCCGCGGUAAUACAGAGGUCUCAAGCGUUGUUCGGAAUCACUGGGCGUAAAGCGUGCGUAGGCUGUUUCGUAAGUCGUGUGUGAAAGGUGCGGGCUCAACCCGCGGACGGCACAUGAUACUGCGAGACUAGAGUAAUGGAGGGGGAACCGGAAUUCUCGGUGUAGCAGUGAAAUGCGUAGAUAUCGAGAGGAACACUCGUGGCGAAGGCGGGUUCCUGGACAUUAACUGACGCUGAGGCACGAAGGCCAGGGGAGCGAAAGGGAUUAGAUACCCGUGUAGUC